rnacentral:rRNA from 1 species
CCUACGGGAGGCAGCAGUGAGGAAUAUUGCACAAUGGGGGAAACCCUGAUGCAGCGACGCCGCGUGAGUGAUGAAGUAUUUCGGGAUGUAAAGCUCUAUCAGCAGGGAAGAUAAUGACGGUACCUGACUAAGAAGAUCCGGCUAAAUACGUGCCAGCAGCAGCGGUAAUACGUAUGGAGCAAGCGUUAUCCGGAUGUACUGGGUGGAAAGGGAGCGCAGACGGCAGGGCAAGUCUGAUGUGAAAGUCCGGGGCUCAACCCCGGGACUGCAUUGGAAACUGUCCGGCUAGAGUGCAGGAGAGGUAAGUGGAAUUCCUAGUGUAGCGGUGAAAUGCGUAGAUAUUAGGAGGAACACCAGUGGCGAAGGCGGCUUACUGGACUGUAACUGACGUUGAGGCUCGAAAGCGUGGGGAGCAAACAGGAUUAGAUACCCGAGUAGUC